UAAAAAAAAAAAAAAAAUUAUAUUCAUCUACAUACAUUUUUUAUCAAUAAGACCUUUAAAUGUCAUUUGCAUGUGAGAUGAGUUUGAACCACUUUGGAAAAAAGAUUCAUGAAAAUGGCUUAAACCCUCUUCUCUUUAGUUAAGAACGUCCAUCCAUCCAUCAUCUGUAACCACUUCUCCUAUUCAGGGUCGCGGGGGCUGGAGCCGAUCCCAGCUGGCGUUGGGCGAAGGCGGGCUACAGGGUAGUUGCCAGACUAUCACAGGGAUGACACAUAGAGACAGACAACCAUUCACACUCACAUUCACACCUACGGGUAAUUUAGAGUUGACAAUUAACCUAGCCUGCAUGUCUUUGGACUGUGGGAGGAAGCCGGGGAAACCAGAGAAAACCCACGCCAACACGGGGAGAACAUGCAAACUCCACACAGAAGGGCCUCAAGCCGGGUUUUUUUUAACCUGCAACCCUCUUGCUGUGAGGUGACAGUGCUAACCACCCCUGUUCAUCGUUACCUUCUCAGUCUGGGAUUGGCCACAGAGUACCUGUUUCAUAUUUAUCCAAGACCAGAAGAUAUCAUUUCACCUGACGAGCAAAAUGGCUACUUGGUUUCCUGCCAGUCAGUUGCUCCUCAUUGCACUGUUAAGCUGGAAUGUCUAUUGCUUUCCUGCUAAAAAAGGCUGGAGCCAGCCUGAUCCUUAUUAUGAGGGUGAUUUCCCUAACAUGGAAGUGCGUCCUGGCUUCAAUUACCGCUCAUCCCUAGGUGCUCCUGCACAGCCUUCCAGUGUGAGUUACCCUGCUGUGGAGGAGGGAGAGUAUUCUAGUCCUGGAACCCGUCCAGCAAGCUACUCCAGACAGGUCCAGUGAGGCUUCAUGAAACGCUGCUCCUAGUUGGGAUCCUGCGGAAGAGCCUACGACUACCUACACCGCGUCCAGAACAUCUCGGCCUGCACUUGACUGUGGCCCUCCCCCUUCACUUGUCCCCCAAGCAGGCGAGCUUAACCACUAUGAAGCCAACUCAGAGCACGGUAAUUCGGAAAGGGAAACUGAGGAGCUAAGCUUUCCUGAGCCUCUGCUGCCGCCGCCACCUCCUCCAUAUCCUGACUUCCAAGCUGGUGAGCUGAGUCGGUAUACAGCAGGAAGAGCGGGAAACAGAAGAACACCGCCUCCCUAUGAUUCAGCGCCACAGGAGGUUGAGGAGUCAGCUUCUUCCACGUCAGACCACAAGCAGCCAGUUCCAGAAGAGCUGAUCCCGGUUGGACUGAGCCAGUUCUUGACUGGUCAGCUUCCUCCUGGCACAUACACUCACUUUCAGUCAGACUACGAGGCAGGCAGAGACCACUGGGAUGAAGCCCAUUAUGAGAGACACCACUACCCCACUCUGACUCAGCAGCACCAGGACUAUACCAAAAUCUAACCAGGACUGUAGGUCUUUAAAACAACUUGAAGCAGAUCAGGGUAAAGGCGACUCUAGUAGUCUUGCUUUCUACUCUUAACGUGUCUGUGAAAUGUGCUCAAGUUGUUGUGACAUUUGAAUAAAGUGCAACAUGACCAUUAAUGAAUUGUGUUCUCUUAUGUGGGUUGGAUGGACUGGUCUUAAAUUUGAGGGGGAGGAUUUAUUCUAAGGAAACUUCAGGUACUGCGUAAACUCAAGCCUCUUUGCUACUGUGACAAUAGCUCAAAUCUAUCCACGUGAAGUCACUGUGGCUAUAGAAAGACGUCCAAUCAUACCCUGGUAUUCAAACUGUACUGGAUGCUUGUGUGAGUGUUCAAAUUUAAGAUAAUAGUGAAGCUGUUACACUUUAGUCAGGGGCAAAGUUAUGUACUCUUAUGUAGUGGGAAGCUGUUUUGUGGUGCCUCAAGUGUGUUAACUUGCAUAAUGCCUUCAAUUUUACUUGCUUUUCCAGCACCCUACAAGGAAGCCUAUUUUAUGACCAGACUGUCUAACACUUGCCACUAUGGCAGAGUCUGAUUUUUUGCUUUGUGUACCCUAAGUUAUCCAGUGGAUGACUUAACUUAUCGGGUUUAUUUUUGCCAGGUAAUGCAUGGAAUUUGACUCCGUUUUGUUGCAGCUCUCUCAAUGUACUUACACAGAAUAGAAAUAUAAGCUAGGAACAAUAAUGACAAACAAUAAAAUAACAAUACAAUAAUGAGUCUUAACACCGUAAAGCUCUUUUCCACAACUGAAACAACCACCUGUUUGUGCUUUU